rnacentral:rRNA from 1 species
UACGGGGCGCAGCAGUGGGGAAUAUUGCGCAAUGGGGGGAACCCUGACGCAGCAACGCCGCGUGAAGGAUGAAGGCCUUCGGGUUGUAAACUUCUUUGAUUGGGGAAGAAAUUUGACGGUACCCAAAGAACAAGCCACGGCUAACUACGUGCCAGCAGCCGCGGUAAUACGUAGGUGGCGAGCGUUGUCCGGAAUUACUGGGUGUAAAGGGCGUGUAGGCGGGGAUGCAAGUCAGAUGUGAAAUUCCGGGGCUCAACCCCGGCACUGCAUCUGAAACUGUGUCUCUUGAGUGCUGGAGAGGAAAGUGGAAUUCCUAGUGUAGCGGUGAAAUGCGUAGAGAUUAGGAGGAACACCAGUGGCGAAGGCGACUUUCUGGACAGUAACUGACGCUGAGGCGCGAGAGCGUGGGGAGCAAACAGGAUUAGAUACCCUGGUAGUCCACGCCGUAAACGAUGGAUACUAGGUGUAGGAGGUAUCGACCCCUUCUGUGCCGGAGUUAACACAAUAAGUAUCCCACCUGGGGAGUACGGCCGCAAGGCUGAAACUCAAAGGAAUUGGCGGGGGAGCAC